UUUUUAGAAUUUUAAAAUUAGUGUUUUCCUUUCUUCCGUCAACUACAGUAGCUUCUUCCCCAAAAUUCUAAAUCUGAGAGAGUUCGGCCUUUACUUUUGUCGAGAGAAAACUAUAGUAGCUUCUUCCCCAAAAUUCUCUGCUCCAAUUUGAACCAUGGAGUUAACGUAGAAGAUUACUUUACUUUUUCGUUCGAUUAGCCUUGUCUUUUGGUCAGCCAAAGAAUUGGCUUUGGUUUGUACGAUUGGGCACAAACAUUUCCGCUGGUUUUCAACAAAUCGCUCAAAGAUCGCUCUGGUAUUUUGCAUUGUGAUUGUUAGUUAUUCAUUUGCUUUUGAUAUUGGUUCCUUUCUGGAAUCUGAGUUUGAUUUCAGUUUUAACACAAGUUUUCAAAUCUAAGCAAUGCAUGCACGGGUUGGGGUUUCGAAAACUGAUAGAUGGGUGGGUGGGUUUAGGGUUUCUAAAAUUCAGAGACGGAAUGGUGUGAUUGCUAUGAAAUUAUGUUAAAAUUAUGUGAUGAGCUUGACGAGAUUUCGAUUUUGAGUUUUGAUUCCCAAAAGCUUCGAUUUUGAGAUACGACCUUGAGCUGGUGAGAUCCUAUUCUGAAAGCACCUUUUAAGACCAUGAGCUCCUCUGGUAAGAAAUCUUGGAUAUCUGGCUGUUUGGUUUUCAUCUUGAUGCUGCCUUUUUCUUUACUCUUAUUGGUGACUUUUGCUUAUACUCUCUUGCUGUUUUAUUCUUGCUCAAAUUGUUUCAUUUUUUUAAUAUAAUAAUGCUUUGUGUGGUAUGAGCAACCAUCUUUUGUCCGUUUAAUAUCAUCUCUUGAGCGUGUGAGGUUAAGAAGUUCAGCUACUACAUGGGUGUUAUGGAACUUAUGCUUGAUGUGCUGAAUUGCUAUGGAAUUCUGUCAUUUUUUGGGAUAUGAAAUUGCCAAAUGUCAAUUAGUAGUGGAUGUGAAAUAGUUAUUUGAUCAGGAAAUAUCAUCUUAAGAGUUAUGUUAAUACUAUUUUGGGAAGAUGGAACUAUACUAUUUUGUUCUUUCGAUUUCUUCUCCUAUUUUGUUCUUAUUAUAUGUUUCUUUUCAACAUGUCUUUCAUCCAGUCCUGUUUUUGGCUCAACUAUGGGAAGUUGAAGGUUUGUUCAUCAGAUUGUUUUUAUGCUUAACUGAAGUCUUAAUUAUCUUUGAUUUGAGGUAUAGCUCUGAUUUAAGUUUCAAGUUUCAUGAAUUUUUUUUAUAUUGCUGUAUAUACAAUUCUUUAAUCAAAAUGUCAUUUGCUCUGCAUCCGCACAUAGGUGGUUCAGUCAUUAUUUCUAUAUCAGUUCUGUGUUUCAUGAAUAUAACGAUUGUAUAUAAUUUUUUUGGUUCAUUUUUCAUUUUCUUAUGAAAGAAUCAGUAAUAUCAUUCUAUUAUUCAUUGAUGGUAUGCAGAUUCUAUAUUUUUGUUUUCAUCAUUGGCCAUCCAUACAUAGAAUAUCUGUUAGCGUAUCCAAGGUGCACACUUUUAGUGUAGAUUAGUGAUUUGAUCUGCAUGUUUAGCUGAAAUAUGUGUAUGGUAGACAAUAGAGAAGGGUUUUUUGAGCAGUAGGUUCAUUGUAUUUGGUUGUGUUUGUAGGAAUGGGCUUAUAAGUAUUAAUACAUAGCAAAGCAUCAAGAGGGUCCUUCUCAACAAUGGAUAAACUUAUUCUAAUUGAGGAUGCAGAACAUAAGGUUGAUUGUUAGUUUUGGCUUGAGUAAUUGGUGCAAGUUGUGCUAAUUUUAUUAUUAGAAAAUAACUCGUGUUUCAGGUUCUUUUCUUUGCAUUGUGUUGUGUAUGUAAUUGCAUUUCGACCGCUAGUCUUGUGGUUAAAUUUUACCUAACACAUUUUAAUAUUUUUUAAACUAGCAAAAGCCAAUUUAGGAUUGUGGUUCUUUUAUGAGACAACACACUCAUAAGAAUUAUAAGUCAUUACUGAUUUCAUUCAAGUUUAGGGAAAUUUAGGAUUGUGAACCUUUUACUUAACACAUGUUAUUUUUCAUGUACAAUGCUUAAUCUUCUCAUAUCUUCCAUUGCUACCAUCUUACAGCAUACUGCUCAAAAGCAUGAACCUCACUUUUGAAAGAUAUGAUCCUGCUCUGCUUAGGUGCAUUGUGAUACAUCAGGAUAAUGAACUGUCUGAGUCUUCCCCAGUAGCUCACUUCUACUUUAAAAGGGGACAUCAACACUAAAGGUAUGCAAUUACUAAUCCAAACAGUUCAUUAAUUUGCAGGAUUUUUAUUAGUAUACAAAUUCUUCAUGUUUUGAAUUAAUUGUGUGAAAGAUUCAGUUUAGUUGUUACUUGUAGGCUUUCUUUCUGAAUUUUACUCAAUAAAUAUGGUCAUGUAGAUAUUAUGCGCAGUUGAAGUCUUUUAUUCCUUUUAACAAUCCUAGUAUAAACCCUUCUACUGGACAUUGUACAAUUAUGUUUAGACUCUCUAAUUUGUUUGUGUUCUGAUGGUCGAAAUUACUUCAAUUUUUUCAUGCAGGUUCAGGAAGCAGUUAGAGAAGGUGUGGUCAGACAUGAGAUAUUGAGCAAGAGAUGUGCUGGUUGAAAUACAUUUAUUUUUAGAUUUUGUUUUUGAGAGAUGUAUGUCUUGUGAAUUUGUGAGAGAAAUGUUGAUACAUAUAUAGUUUUUGGAAUGAUAUAUGAUACACUUUGUGUUGGGUAUCAGGAUUUUAUCUUUAGUAGACUAUUCAUGAAAAAAAAAAAAAAUAGAUGUCAUUUUAUAGUGUUAAUAAGUGACCAAACAAUUGUAAAUUAGUCACCAAUUGUUCUACAUACAUUUAGUGACCAAAUUAUAAGCCUUUAGUGAUGAAAUUUGCGGUCACUAAUAGCAUUUCCAUUAGUGACUAAUAGAGGUAGUCACUAAUUGUUUGCGUUUCAGUGACCAAUAUUUGGAUGUUGGCCAAUAAAUAGAAUUUG
rnacentral:lncRNA from 1 species